CAAGGACAGAGCUUCAUACUUGGCCACUCGCAGCAGCCUGAGCUUUGACCCACACCCCAUCGACCAACUGGCACUGAACUGUUUGCUCGUAGAGGGGGGUGGGUGGCACUCUGAAGGCUAUCCAGCACGAUCAUGCCCUUUCCCUUGGCAAUUCUGUGACACUUUCCAAUCUAAGGUCGACAGAGCAAGGCAACCAGAUUUUUUUCUACAGCACCCUCCCAGGUGAGCAGUGGGCCUGGAGCCCUUCUGUAACCUGGCAUCUGUAGGUCUUCUCAUUAAGAACUAGAAUCAGAAGAGGAAAGGACUUAACACGCAUUACAACUCAGUCAUGGGGCUCUGAAGCGCCCCGAGGUCCCCUCUUUCCCACCCUACCUGUCGGCUGCGCGGCUCCACCACUUGCCAAACUAGGAGGAUUAAGUCGGUCUCGUCCGAGCCUAGGUCCGGCCCCAGCGCACCGGCAGUGGCCCCGAACAAAACCACCAGCGACUGAGCAGGCACUCUGAGUCCUCCGCAAAAGAAUGUGCAGGAUCAGAGGCCUCUUUCCAUUCUGCAAGGGUCACGCAAGACCCAUGGAAUUCAACAAGAGGCAAUCUAGGGACUAUAAAAGGUCGCGACGUUUGGCUUGAGGUUAAUGGAAGUUACAAAGGGUCAAAAGCCGACAGUGAGCGCUACCAGGCCGCCCUGUGGGCUCAGGAUAGUUUCCCACCUACUCGACUGUAAUUAGUACUCUGGCGAGAGUAAAAAGGUACUGGCGUGGGACUUAGAGUACAGGAUGCCACCGACUGAAGAAGAACCUUGUGUGUUUGGAAAAGCGGGCUGCUUCCUAUUGGUCUUGGAUAAAAGGCAACCCAGAGCCCGGGUGCAUCCCUAACUCAUGCCCAAGGAAGGUCGUGCGGAGCCAGAGGACCUAGAAUGAAUAGUGCGCCUCCUGGGUUUGUCCACACAGUA
ensembl:processed_transcript RIKEN cDNA 1810019D21 gene